CACAAAAAUAAAGGAAAAGAAGGGUAACUUGAUAUGGAAAGCUCUUCAUCAUCUCAUGAAUUAUGAUGCACUAGUUUUAAGCAAAAAUGAAAUAUGACAAAAAUAAUACAAACCAGAUACAACGGUCAACGGUACCGUUGAUUUUAAAAAUUAAAACAAAGCACAAGAGACCCUCCGUGUCAACCAGAAGCUCUCUCACUUUGAACUAGACAGACAAUGUUCUGUGUCUUUGUCACUUUGAGGGUUCUAAACUUCUAUUCCACAGUUUGGGUACAGACUCUUUCUUCUUCUCUCUUUUGGUACCAAAUUGAAUAAUAUAUUUGCUUAAAUUUUUCUUACAUGUUUCUGAAAUUGCAGCAAUCAACAAAAUUGGCGAAGGAAGACAUCAACCAUGAUUUGGGCACGGACUCUUUCUCUCCUUCCAGUUAGGAAAUCAGCAAACAUGGCAAAGGAAAAGAAGCGAUCGCUGCCGAAAAGCUACCGAAAAGUUCCAAGUUCGAAACUAUCUUGUGGCCCUGUUGUCGCUAUGGAAACGGUUUUCUCAAGAACGAACUCUUGAAACCGUGUCUGGAUGUGCUUUUGUUAUCACACGGUGAAGGUGAAGAAUUCAGUCUCAUAAGAGUUUACUUGACGUCGCAGAAUGAUUGCAAAAGGCUUUGUUAUCUGUUAAAAUGACAAUUACAGACUAGAAUAGUUUACUCAUUUGUGUGAUGCCUUCCCAUAUUUGGGUCUCACUUGUUGGGCUAAUGUGUCACAAAAGCAGUUCUAGUGAUCAUAUGAAGAAUUAUAAAAGUAGAAAGCAGUUUCUUAUAAAAGUAGAAAGCAGUUUCUCGUUUUGUACAAUUUGCCAAAACGAGAAUGGUGUUGCAUACCGGAAUCAAACUUGUAUUGAAAGUAAUAAUGUGAAUAUGAAUUUCAUCA